UGGGGCAUGGCCAAGUGUUAAGGCAGCGGGUUUUGGUCCCGUUACUCGAGGUUCGAAUCCUUUGAAACAA
rnacentral:tRNA from 1 species